GCCCAGUGAACUAUUAAACGGCCGCGGUACCCUAACCGUGCAAAGGUANNNNAAUCACUUGUCUAUUAAUUGUAGACCCGUAUGAAAGGCAUAAUGAGGGUUCAACUGUCUCUUUUAGUAAAUCAAUUAAACUGAUCUUCUAGUCAAAAAGCUAGAAUUAUAUCAUAAGACCAGAAGACCCUGUGAAGCUUUAACUAAACUGUUAAACCAUAUAACAACUACUUUCGGUUGGGGCGACCUUGGAAAAAAAAAGAACUUCCAAACUCANUAUUAUAUAAAAAUACUUAAUAGGCUAACAAGCCACACAAAGACCCAGCUAAGCUGACAACUGAACCAAGUUACUCCAGGGAUAACAGCGCUAUCUUCUUCAAGAGCCCAUAUCAAAAAGAAGGUUUACGACCUCGAUGUUGGAUCAGGACAUCCCAAUGGUGCAGCCGCUAUUAACGGUUCGUUUGUUCAACGAUUAAUAGUCCUACGUGAU
rnacentral:rRNA from 1 species